rnacentral:rRNA from 1 species
AACGAACGCUGGCGGCGUGCCUAAUACAUGCAAGUCGAACGCAGUGGGGCCGGGUUAGUAACACGUGGGUAACCUCCCAUCAGAGGGGAUAACACUUGGCAACAGGUGCUAAACCGCUACUGAUGGAUGGACCCGCUGUGCAUUAGCCAGUUGGUGACGUAACGGCUCACCAAGGCCACGAUGCAUAGCCGACCUGAGAGGUUGAUCGGCCACACUGGGACUGAGACACGGCCCAGACUCCUACGGGAGGCAGCAGUGGGUAAUCUUCGGCAAUGGACGAAAGUCGGAUCGAGCAACGCCGCGUGAGUGAAGAAGGUUUUCGGAUCGUAAAGCUCUGUUGUUAGAGAAGCGGUAUCUAACCAGAAAGCCACGGCUAACUACGUGCCAGCAGCCGCGGUAAUUC